rnacentral:rRNA from 1 species
UACGUAGGGUGCGAGCGUUAAUCGGAAUUACUGGGCGUAAAGCGUGCGCAGGCGGUUUCGUAAGCCAGAUGUGAAAUCCCCGGGCUUAACCUGGGAACUGCAUUUGGGACUGCGAGGCUAGAGUACGGCAGAGGGAGGUGGAAUUCCACGUGUAGCAGUGAAAUGCGUAGAUAUGUGGAGGAACACCGAUGGCGAAGGCAGCCUCCUGGGCUAGUACUGACGCUCAUGCACGAAAGCGUGGGGAGCAAACAGGAUUAGAUACCCUGGUAGUCCACGCCCUAAACGAUGACAACUAGUUGUUGGGGAUUUAACAUCCUUAGUAACGCAGCUAACGCGUGAAGUUGUCCGCCUGGGGAGUACGGUCGCAAGAUUA